CUAAGUUUAUCUUUGGUUGUAGCCAGGAAGUCAUCUCCCUACAUGAUAUGAUUUGGUACAGUAGAGGCAGUUCUACUGAAAGCUACUUGGCACUGCCCUGCUACAUCUCUCAACCCUACCCUAAAAGGACCAACUAUAGAGCAUUUAGAUGUGUACAUCUGGAGGAAGGUGUUCUGGAAAGAGGACCUCAAUUCUGAGACUCACACUUUCAUUCCCAAGCCUGAUGGGACCAGUGUUCCCUGCAAUAUUCCCACUGAACUGAACGGAACAUACAUCAACUAUAGGCCUUUCAUCACAUUUCGAUGAAGAAGAAUUCUGUUAUUCCAGACUUUCAGUCUGUUUGUUUUUAAACACUGUGGAAGCCUAAAAUAAAACAGCAUUAUAUUAGCUCCUGGCAAUAAGGAAGUUAAACAUCUGACUAUCAACUGGAAGGGAAUCAGGCCCAUCUAUUAUCACUAUCCAAGUAACCAUGGAAAGAUGCAUCUCUACCUUAUAUAAAGUUUUUAUGACAAGGAGAAGGAUGAUGAUGUCACAGCAACAAAAGGCCAACCUGCCAACUGUGAGGACACCACACUCAUCUCAAGCAUCUAUUCUGAAAUUAACUGUUUGUUCAUUUAUCUCCAGUGUCACAAACUGAACCUUGUAUGACUUAGCUUUUU